AAAGUUUGAUCCUGGCUCARUGGGCAUGCUGGCGGCGUGCCUAWCAUAUGCAAGUCGAGCGGCAGCGCGGUCUUCGGACUGGCGGCGAGCGGCGGACGGCUGAGUAACGCGUGGGAACGUACCCCAAAGUGAGGAAUAACCGCCCGAARGGGUGGCUAAUGCCGYAUAUGAUCUUCGGAUUAAAGGAUUUAUCCGCUUUGGGAACGGYMUGCGUACGAUUAGAUAGUUGGUGAGGUAAAGGCUUACCAAGUCUACGAUCGUUAACUGGUCUGAGAGGAUGAUCAGUCAGACUGGAACUGAGAUACGGUCCAGACUCCUACGGGAGGCAGCAGUGAGGAAUCUUCCACAAUGGGCGAAAGCCUGAUGGAGCAACGCCGCGUGCAGGAUGAAGGCCUUAGGGUCGUAAACUGCUUUUAUAAGUGAAGAAUAUGACGGUAACUUAUGAAUAAGCACCGGCUAACUACGUGCCAGCAGCCGCGGUCAUACGUAGGGUGCAAGCAUUAUCCGGAGUGACUGGGCGUAAAGAGUUGCGUAGGUGGUUUGUUAAGUGAAUGGUGAAAUCUGGGGGCUCAACCUCACAGACUAUUAUUCAAACUGGCAAACUCGAGAGCAGCAGAGGUAACUGGAAUUUCUAGUGUAGGAGUGAAAUCCGUAGAUAUUAGAAGGAACACCAAUGGCGUASGCAGGUUACUAGGCUAUUUCUGACACUGAGGCACGAAAGCGUGGGGAGCGAACCGGAUUAGAUACCCGGGUAGUCCACGCCGUAAACUAUGGAUACUAGCUGUUGGAGGUAUCGACCCCUUCAGUAGCGAAGCUAACGCGUUAAGUAUCCCGCCUGUGGAGUACGGUCGCAAGACUAAAACAUAAAGGAAUUGACGGGACYCGCACAGCGGUGGAGCGUGUUCUUUAUUCGACGCUAACGAAGAGCCUUACCAGGCUUGACAUCCUUGGAAUUUCUGUGAAGCARAAGUGCUUUAUGAGCAAGUGACAGGUGAUGCAUGACGUCGUCAGCUCGKGUCGKGAAAUGUCGCUAGUCAUCACGAGCGCAMCCAUGGUAAUAGUUAUUUUCUAUUCGACUGCYYGGUACGGGAGGAAAGGAGGAACGMCCUUGUCAGAUUCCUAAACCYUGCUWRAAACYSCCCUUACCAUUGC
rnacentral:rRNA from 1 species